rnacentral:rRNA from 1 species
GACGAACGCUGGCGGCGUGCUUAACACAUGCAAGUCGAACGGUGAAGCGCCUUCCUUUUUGGUGGGUGUGGAUGAGUGGCGAACGGGUGAGUAACACGUGAGUAACCUGCCCCCUUCUUCUGGAUAACCGCAUGAAAGUGUGGCUAAUACGGGAUAUUCUGGGUCUGUCGCAUGAUGGGUCUGGGAAAGAUAUUGUUUCGGUGGGGGAUGGGCUCGCGGCCUAUCAGCUUGUUGGUGGGGUGAUGGCCUACCAAGGCGGUGACGGGUAGCAGGCCUGAGAGGGUGGACGGUCACACUGGGACUGAGACACGGCCCAGACUCCUACGGGAGGCAGCAGUGGGGAAUAUUGCACAAUGGGCGCAAGCCUGAUGCAGCGACGCCGCGUGAGGGAUGGAGGCCUUCGGGUUGUGAACCUCUUUCGCCAGUGAAGCAGGCCUGCCUCGUUUGUGGGUGGGUUGACGGUAGCUGGAUAAGAAGCGCCGGCUAACUACGUG